CACCUGAAAACAUUACUGUAAUUACUGCAGCCCCAUUUUUGCCGCUGUUCAUACACCAUGUUUUUAGCUAGCUCCUCAGUAAACAGUCCAAUAAUGACAACCACAAUAUUUGUGCCAUGGUCCCUGUUGCUUUAAGUGUUCACUGACUUUGUUUUUAAUAUCAGUUCUGAACUAAAAAUGCGCACUUUGAGACGGAAGCAGGAGUUUUCCUUUCACUACUCUUUGGGGAUUUACUGUCUAUUGACUCGCCGAGGACCACUGCUUCACUUAGGGUACAUGUUUCUACUGUGGCAAAGGAGAAGUCUGGGGAAAUAUGACCAGAAGGGGGCAAUCACAGUAAACAUAAGGUCUGCAGUGUGAUGUUUUUGCCUGAUGUUGUUCCUGAAAGGAAGAGAAAUACUGAGAGUCUUUUUUCAACUUCAACUCCUUAAUCUCGUCUUCACUCUCAACAAUCUCCACCAGCAUCAAAACACAAGAAGAACGAGGUAGGAACAAGGAAAACACAAGCAGUCCAUGCUAUCCAAUCACAGCUUUUGCAGUGUUGCAGCCCUGACUGGUUAUGUUUUUGAGGUGGUGGACGUCAGCAGGUGCACCGUAACGCCUUAGCUCAAAAUAAAAUCCAGCUCAACAACAGUGCAGUUUUAAGAAAUCUUGCUGUUUGUGUCCCAUCUGUCAAGUAAUAAUUGUCUUGUAUGUUGCAGUGACUGAUUGAGUUUACUCCUUGAGGAAAAAUAAAGCUCAAAUCUUAUGGAAUCUGUAUUUUUCCAACAGUAUAUUAUU